CGUGCCUCUCCAUUAUGUUUGAUGAUGUUUUCACUGCCUUGUCCUGUCAAAGUGCAGAGGGCGCGGCAGUUGCAGAGAGAGCAGAGACUCUAGGAGUAACGACAACACUCUAGUUGCUCCUAGAAGCUAAUUUGCAUAUAUUA